UAUCAGAUACUCCUCUAUAAUUUUCCAGGCGGCCCUACUUUCUCUAGAGCAAUGUACUUCACGUGCGUGCUCUUUUCCUGGCUUAGCCGUUCUAAACAUAAGUAUGAUGACAAAUAUUAAAAGGGUAACCUUCAAAACAAAAUUAAUAACACCAUCUCCCAAAUUCAAGAAAGGUAUCGAUAUUGCUUAUCAAAAUCACCAGCAAAGUAA
rnacentral:misc_RNA from 1 species